rnacentral:rRNA from 1 species
GAAUCAUAGACAAUGGGGGAAACCCUGAUCUUGCCAUGCCGCGUGGACGAUGAAGGCCUUAGGGUUGUAAAGUCCUUUCACCGGUGAAGAUAAUGACGGUAGCCGGAGAAGAAGCCCCGGCUAACUCCGUGCCAGCAGCCGCGGUAAUACGGAGGGGGCUAGCGUUGUUCGGAAUUACUGGGCGUAAAGCGCGCGUAGGCGGACUGUUAAGUCGGGGGUGAAAUCCCGGGGCUCAACCCCGGAACUGCCUUCGAUACUGGCAGUCUAGAGAGAGGCAGAGGCUAGUGGAAUGGCGAGUGUAGAGGUGAAAUUCGUAGAUAUUCGCCGGAACACCAGUGGCGAAGGCGACUGGCUGGGCCUUUUCUGACGCUGAGGUGCGAAAGCGUGGGGAGCAAACAGG